GUGCUUGCUUCGGCAGCAUGUAUGCCAAGGCUGGAACGAUACAGAGAAGGUUAGCAUGGCCCCUGCACAAGGAUGACAUGCAAAUUCUUGAAGCAUUCCAUAUUUUU